CCUCGAAAAAGGCAAACCGAUCGUGAGGUCGGGACGCAAAGCCAAGGGCCACGUAAGUGGACGCCAGGCUGCCGAA
rfam:Blastopirellula marina DSM 3645 1099463000698, whole genome shotgun sequence.